rnacentral:lncRNA from 10 species
AUGAUUGUUUAAACCAUUGGCCAUUGGUGAUCAACUUGACCCUCCACUCCUCUCUCCUCCUAGAGUUUGUGGGGGGUGCUGCAAGUCCCAACUCUAAUCAUACUCUUGUCUUUCCAGUGACCAGGCCCAUCCUGAAGCUAUCAGUCAGUAUUGGCAUACAAAAAGACAGUCCUUUGGAGGGGGAUGAAGACCAAAUAUAUAUUUCAUAGUAUCAGAUGGAUAGAUUCUCAUGACC